CCCUUAGAUGUCCGGGGCUGCACGCGCGCUACACUGAAGGAAUCAGCGUGCUAAAACCAUUGUCGAAAGGCAUUGGUAAACCCAUUAAAAUCCUACGUGAUUGGGAUCGGGAAUUGCAAUUAUUUCCCUUGAACGCGGAAUUCCCAGUAAGUGUGGGUCAUAAGCUCGCGUUGAUUACGUCCCUGCCCUUUGUACACACCGCCCGUCGCUGCCCGGGACUGAGCCGUUUCGAGAAAAGCGGGGACUGCUGCUGUCGGGGCUUUCGGGCCUUGGCUUCGGUGGAAACCGCUUUAAUCGCAGUGGCUUGAACCGGGCAAAAGUCGUAACA
rnacentral:rRNA from 1 species